rnacentral:pre_miRNA from 1 species
UUCCAUGCUUUUCCACAGCUUUCUUGAACUUCUACUGAUGUUUUUCAUUUCAAAAACAUAAGAGGUUCAAGAAAGCUGUGGGAGAACAUAGAAA